AGAGUUUGAUCCUGGCUCAGGAUGAACGCUAGCGACAGGCUUAACACAUGCAAGUCGAGGGGCAGCGGGUAGAUGAGCUUGCUCAUUUAUGCCGGCGACCGGCGCACGGGUGAGUAACACGUAUGCAACCUGCCCGUCUCAGGGGGAUAAUCGUCGGAAACGGCGUCUAAUACCCCGUAUGAAGCCGGACGGCAUCGUCUGGUUUUGAAAGAAUAUCGGAGACGGAUGGGCAUGCGGCGCAUUAGCUAGUUGGCGGGGUAACGGCCCACCAAGGCAACGAUGCGUAGGGGUUCUGAGAGGAAGGUCCCCCACACUGGUACUGAGCCAGGAUCAAAC
rnacentral:rRNA from 1 species